AUACGGAGGGUGCAAGCGUUGCUCGGAAUCACUGGGCGUAAAGCGUACGCAGGCGGUUUACUAAGUCGGGUGUGAAAGCCCAGGGCUCAACCCUGGAACUGCAUUCGAAACUGGUAGACUUGAGUACGGGAGAGGAGAGCGGAAUUCCUGGUGUAGAGGUGAAAUUCGUAGAUAUCAGGAGGAACACCCGUGGCGAAAGCGGCUCUCUGGCCCGAUACUGACGCUCAUGUACGAAAGCGUGGGUAGCAAACAGGAUUAGAAACCCCAGUAGUCC
rnacentral:rRNA from 1 species